AUGCGAGUCCUUGGACUCGCCGCCAUCGAGAGGGUGCGUAAGAGAUAGGCCUUGCGCGUCACCUGGCUACGCGCGGGUGACGCCAAGAUGGCGUUCUUCCAGGCAAAAAUCAACUCGCGGCGCCAAAAAAACUUCAUCCAUGCCCUACACACCAGAGACUCCAUUGUCACCUCCCACAGCGACAAGGAGCGGAUCAUUCAUGAGCACUUCCGAUCCUCGCUGGGCACAAAACCGCCUCGCAGCCGUACCAUCAACUAGGAGGCCAUUCACCUGCCAUCCUUGCCGGCAGCCGGCCUCGACAACCCCUUCACCGAGAAUGAGGUGUGGGCGGCGAUCUGCAAAUCUCCGCAAGAGAAGGCCCCGGGGCCGGACGGCUUCAAUGGCACCUUCUUCCGCUCGUGCUGGUCCAUCAUCAAGACUGGCGUCAUGGCCGUCUUCCACCAGUUCUACAAUCUCUGA
rnacentral:rRNA from 1 species